rnacentral:misc_RNA from 1 species
UUGNGNGAGAGUAGUACUAGGAUGGGUGACCCCCUGGGAAGUCCUCGUGUUGCACCCCCCCUAUUUUUGCAUCUUUUUUGCCUUUUUCCGGGAAGGCGGUGAACCGAAACGCGCGUACGGGAGAACGUGGCUCAGCAAACGCGCGCGCGCGACGUAAAACUCCGAAGUACCGGGAUGAUCCUAACGGUUGGGAAUAUGGGAGU